GAGUGUUUGGGCAGAGACAUCCAUCAGGGUUUGUUCCUAGUCCUCUAGAGCGAUACAGAUAGAUCCUGCUGCCUACUCUCAGACUGAUGCAGGUCACCUUGACCUCCACCACCAGGCAUCACCAGCAGGGGGCGGCACAGGUGCAGCAGUAAAUCAUCGUUCACUCUGAUGUCAUCCAGUCCAUCCUGCACAUCAUCAGCAAGACUGCACUGCCAGGAGACCUUUAGAUGGGACAGGAAAUCAACUGAUGGAAGUACAAGGACACAUCGGCAGAUUCCAGAUGUGGCCAUUCCCUCUGUACGGGUGCCCAGUCUGGGAUUGGUUCUGCUUCUGCUGAAGAACAGCGCCACUGACUUCUUCCGAUAUCAUGACAGCCACAGACAGAGCCUGAACAAGCUGGAGCGAGUGGAGCAGCUUCCCCGAGGAACUGAAGGAGGGAGCUGUGCCAGAGUCUGGUGUCUGGUUCUGGUGGAGUGGAAAAGAUCCCAUCAGUGGAGAGAAACGUGCUUGUCAAGCGCAGGCUCGUCCAGCUGGUCAACAGUCGAGCCAAACUUCUUGCCCUCUGCUCCUGUAUCCUAACACAAUAAAGAGAAAUCCAGAGAUGAUCCAGUCUGCUUUUCAAAAUAACUUUUGACCGUUUAUUCGGUUACAUUCUUUUGACGAUUGCAAUCUGACACUCAGUAUGUUGGAACGAGUUGCAUGUUUUUCCUUGACAUUUCUCUGAAGAUGUCGUGCCUGUUUGUGAUUUGGCGCCAUCUAGAGUUCUACUUGCUGUACUGCACUCCCACUGACCCCAAAGACUCACUUCUGCCAGGUUACAGAGAUCCUAGUGGCAGCAGAGAUUUAAGGGUGUCAAGAGUGAGCCAGCAAGAUCUUGAACAGCUUCAAUGAGCCAUUACAGAGGAAGCAGCUGGAGGUGGAGGGUCUGUAUAGCAAAAUCCGCUCACGUCACACCUUCAUCCCGGCCCUGACACGCAGGAUCCGAGGCCUAGUGCAUCACGCCAGAGGCUGAUCACUGACAUACAUGUAAAUUCCCUCAAAUAGUGUAAAACCUUACUCUUUUGUAUUAAGAAGCAAAUACCGUAUUUUUCGGACUAUAAGUCACACCUGAGUAUAAGUCGCAUCAGUCCAAAAAAUACGUCAUGAUGAGGAAAAAAAACAUAUGUGACCAAUCACGGAAAGUAGGGACACAAGUCGGUUCUGGGGCAUUUUGAGUUAUUCACAGAUUCUGAAAGUGUAGUCUCCAAGCUUUCCAACGAUGUGUAACACAUGGAAAUCGGAUAAUAUAUUAUAUAAAUCGCACUGGACUAUAAGUCGCAUUCAUUUAGAACCAAGAACCAAGAGAAAACAUUAACGUCUACAACCGCGAGAGGGCGCUCUAUGUCUUCAGCGUAGACUACAGGAGCACUGAGCAGCAUAGAGCGCCCUCUCGUGGCUCUAGACGGUAAUGUUUUCUCUUGGUUCAGGUCUCUUCAUUCAUUUCUCUCGGUUCAUGUGAUAUUAAUUUUGAUAAAUAAGUCACACCUGAAUGUAAGUCGCAGGACCAGCCAAACUAUGAAAAAAAGUGUGACUUAUAGUCCGGAAAAUACGGUAAUUUCUUUUUGUAGUUUUGAUAACUAUCAGUCAACAGGUUACAUUUUCUUGCUCUGAAGAUCUCUGUACAAGAUAUCUGCUUUUUUUUUUUUUUAAAUGUGUUUAAUAAAUGGUUUUUU